GUUUCACUCCUUCUGUAUAUAUCCCUAAACAUUAGGGUUGCUUGAUUUGAGUUUUAUAAAGGUGGCAUUAUGCUUACAUGUAUUGUUCCCUAUAUUGUUCCAUGAGUUGGCCAUUUUUCAUUCCAUAUUAUGCUUUGAGGAUUCAUCCAUGUUGCUAAUAGCUAUAAUUUCAUUUUUUCUUCUAUGUAGUAUUUUUAUUGUAUAAAAACUGUUAAAUUUAAUCCUUCUCGUUUGGUAGACACUUGAAUCCUUUACAGUUUCUGUUACAAACAAUGUUACUUUGAACAUUCUUUGUUCAAACAUGCCUCUCCAUGUUUAUUGCAAAGGUAUGUAUGUAGAAUGCUUUUACAAUAUAAAAAACUUACAGAAUGUGUGCUGCUGCUGCUGCUAAGUCGCUUCAGCUGUGCCCGACUCUUCACGACCCCAUGGACUGCAGCCUACCAGGCUCCUUUGUCCAUGGGAUUUUCCAGGCAAGAGUACUGGAGUGGGGUGCCAUUGCCUUCUCCGUAAAGAAUGUAUAGUGAUGUAAAAUAUACUUGAAAAUAAUUCUACAUUAUUUGAUUAAAAUUAAAGUGGAUUUUUUUGGUUUGAAGUAAUCUAGAUAUCUUAACUAACCCCCCAAUUUUAGGACAUCCAGAGGGCUUAUAUUUUACUGUAUUAUUAGUGUUUCUGAUAAAUAUCUCAUUGCUUAAAAUAGAUAAAAGCAGUUUAGAAUAUUUAGCUCAGUAACUUAUGUCAUCGAAGCACCUUUAAAAUUUUUAUUUGAGAUGCUCCAAUCUUCCUUUUGUUUUUAUGUCUGUUUCCUGGUUUCCUGACUGGAUAGUAAGUAUCCCAGGGACACAUAAUAUAUAAUGAAGAUUUAUUGCCUCUGUUUAUAGCGAAGGAAAUGCGACUGAGCAAAAUCAAGGCUAAAAUGGCAGAAUUGGGAAUCAGUCUAAAGCCCAUGCACUUUUCAUUGUGUAAUGCCUCUUGCCCCUGGGGUGUGUCCCCUCCUAUCCUGAGGUCCAUCACCACCUCUAUGGCUACCGGGGUUGGCAAAGGAAGAAAAUAAGUGUCUGCAUUGGGCAGGCCAAGAAAUUAAAAGACACUCACUCCUUGGAAGAAAAGCUAUGACCCACCUAGACAGCAUAUUAAAAAGCAGAGACAUCACUUUGCCUACAAAAGUCCAUAUAGUCAAAGCUGCGGUUUUUCCAGUAGCCAUGUAUGGGUGUGAGAGUUGGAACAUAAAGAAAGCUGAGCGCCGAAGAAUUGAUGCUUUUGAACUGUGAUGUUGGAGAAGACUCUUGAGAGUCCCUUGGACUGCAAGAAGAUCCAACCAGUCCAUCCUAAAGAAAAUUAACCCUGAAUAUUCACUGGAAAGACUGAUGCUGAAGCUCCAAAAUUUUGGCUACCUGAUGUGAAGAGCCAGUUCAUUGGAAAAGACCCUGAUGCUGGGAAAGAUUGAGGGCAGGGAGAGAAGGGGGGAACAAAAGACGAAAUGAUUGGAUGGCAUGAUCGAAUCAAUAGACGUUGAUUUGAAUAAAUUCAAGGAGCUAGUGCAGGACAGGGAAGCCUGGCGUGCUGCAGUCCAUGGGGUUGCAGAAAGUUGGACACAACUGAGCAACUGAACAACAACUGGGUGGGCUGAUUGCCUGCUAAUUAAUUGCUAAUUGCUACUGUGUCUUCUAUGCUUACUAUAUACCUGCCAGACACUGCUAGGUACUAUAGAUAGGUUUGAACUAAUUCUCAAAUCAGCAGUAUAGUGUUGAUAUUAUUAUUCAUGUUUUCCAAGAUGAGAAGAAUGAGACUUAGAGGGAAUACGGUAGUCCCCACUUUAUCUGUAGUUUUGCUUUCAGACGUUUCAGUUACCCAUGGAUCAACCAUGAUCCAAGAAUGUUAAAUGGAAAAUUCCAAAAGUAAACAAUUCAUAAGUUUUAAACUGUAAUGUGAUAAAAACUCGAGCUGUCAGCCCUGACCUACCUAGGAGGUAAAUCCACCCAGACGGUGAUUCAUCUUUUUGUCCAACCUUUUCCAUUCCCACCCAUUAGUCACUUAGUAGCCCUCUUGGUUAUCAGAUUGACUGUCAACGAUGUCAUAAUGCUUAUUUCAAGGAACCCUUAUAUUACUUAAUAAUGGCCCCAAAGUGUAAGAGGAGUAAUGCCAGCCAUUUGGAUCUGCCAAAGAGAAGCGAUGAAGUACUACAUACAGGUGAAAGGAGAAAGUUCCUUGCUUAGUAAGGAAAAAAGAAAUCAUAUGCUGACACUGCUAAGAUCCAUGGAAGGAAAGAGCCUCCCAUCUCUGAUACUGUGAGGAAGGAAAAAGAAACUUGUGCUAGUUUUGUUGUUGCACCUCAGACUGCAAAGGGUUAGAGCCAGAGUGUGUGAGAGAAAAGAGUGACUUUGAAAGGGAAAGCGGGGACCCAAAAGAUAAGCCCAGAGCGUUGCCUUGACUGAAGAUGCAUUCUCAAGCGAGUCCGUUUUAGGAAAGAAUCCACGUGGACAUGGAUUUAUCUAGUCAUUGAUUUCUUUAAAACUAUUCCUGCCCAAGGGCCCCUUGAAAUAUCACUAACGACGGAGCCAGCAGGUUUUGCCACAUAUCUCUACAAGGGGUGUUUAGUGUGAGCUUAAGCUGCUUAACUACAGAAUUCCCUAAUUCAUGAAAGGAAC
ensembl:lncRNA